GAUGAACGCUGGCGGCGUGCCUAAUACAUGCAAGUCGAGCGAACGGACGAGAAGCUUGCUUCUCUGAUGUUAGCGGCGGACGGGUGAGUAACACGUGGAUAACCUACCUAUAAGACUGGGAUAACUUCGGGAAACCGGAGCUAAUACCGGAUAAUAUUUUGAACCGCAUGGUUCAAAAGUGAAAGACGGUCUUGCUGUCACUUAUAGAUGGAUCCGCGCUGCAUUAGCUAGUUGGUAAGGUAACGGCUUACCAAGGCAGCGAUGCAUAGCCGACCUGAGAGGGUGAUCGGCCACACUGGAACUGAGAAACGGUCCAGACUCCUACGGGAGGCAGCAGUAGGGAAUCUUCCGCAAUGGGCGAAAGCCUGACGGAGCAACGCCGCGUGAGUGAUGAAGGUCUUCGGAUCGUAAAACUCUGUUAUUAGGGAAGAACAUAUGUGUAAGUAACUGUGCACAUCUUGACGGUACCUAAUCAGAAAGCCACGGCUAACUACGUG
rnacentral:rRNA from 1 species